GGCAAGUGGGCAGAGUUGGUGGCGGUGGCAGGUGAGGCGACAGACAUAGGGUGCGGCGGCCAGGGUUAGGAGAUAGGGUUUUUCAUGUUUUUUUGUUUUUAGGUAUUGGGCUAAUUUUUUUCUGAUUUGGGCUUGUAUUUAGGUUGUUUGGGUUUAAUUGGUUUUAUUUUCUCUGGUGGGCCCGGGCAAUAAUUGGGCUGUACAAUUAUUAUUAUUUGUAUAUGUUUUUGUUUGAGUGUUUUGUUUUUUUAUGUAGGUCACUCAUUCGAGGAUUGCACAAUAUAUUCGAGCUUUAACGUAGAGGAGGACUACUUUAAUCUACCUCACAUCACUUCGUGGAAAAAUAAGGGACUCCUAAACGAUUAUAUUUAGUUGGGAACACAUUGGGGAAAAUAUGUUUUUGUUUUUGCUGUUUUAAGAAUUAUAUAAUUUGUUUCCUUUUUGUCUAAUUAGAUCAAGCCACAUUAACUCUUCAACAUUACAGUCAAGCGUUG
rnacentral:lncRNA from 1 species